GGCGAGGCUGAGAGGAUGGGGACCGGAGGCUUGUGGUGCCAGGGUGGACCGGAGACUGAGGCUGGAGACCAGGAGCCUGCAGCACCAGACCAGAGGACCAGGAAUCCAUGGCUGAAGGAGCUGAUGGAGGUGCCGUGCUGAAGGAGCUGAUGGAGGUGCCGUGCUGAAGGAGCUGAUGGAGGUGCCGUGCUGAAGGAGCUGAUGGAGGAGCCGUGCUGAAGGCCCUGGGCUGGUGGAGGAGCUGGUGGAGGCCCUGCCUGGUGAAGGACGUCUGUCGUGGGGUAGAUGGUGCCUGACUCUGAAACCAGGACUUUGUCUGAGGAGAGCUGAUGGAGGAGCUGAGACGCUGGAGGACAACUAGGAAUCGACCAAUAAGGAUUCCUCAACGUGUUUCUGGAGCGGAGGCGAGUUGGUAGGGGAGCCGUGAAUCUGCAGGAUGACCAUCCCUCUACCAACAAGGAUUGUCUAUAUCAUGGAUAUUCAACUGCAGUUCUGUGAGUAUCCCAACUUGACCAUGAAGAUGAACUGCAAACUGUAAGUCAUAAGUUUCUCAUUACUCUUGGGCACAUUGAUGUAUUUUGGCUUCCUGGUGAGUUAGUCCGUAACCUCACGGUUGUUCUGAGUAGUGAGGAUGUUUUAUUGGUUCAUGGGUUACUUAGGUGUUUGGUUUAUGUUGGUUUUAAUGAUUUUUUUAAAUGGUUACAGGCUCCAAGUUAUUGUUGUAAGCUGGAGUAAUGGGUUGGGUUCUGAUAACAUCAGUCUUCUUUUCAGCUACUCUCCUGAGCUCUGCAUCUUCAUCACAUGAGUGUUGCUUUACUGAUGAGGGUGUGGUCUGAGUGAGCAGAGGUGCAUACUGGGAUACAGAGCUGUCUGAAGUCUACAGGUCUGUAGACACGCCCCCUCAGGGGAAACCAAGUGUUUGAGAAACCGUCGUGACGUCGGUUACAUGGACUGGAAUGUUCUUUGAAAUGGACUCAGGGAUUCAGAAGGAGAAACACCAUGGGGAGAUGAGGGGGCUCCUCAUCUCAACGACUAAAACAAAACUUCAGUCUGACACAGAACCAUGGAAGACAUUCAACAGUCUCCUCCAGACAUCGUGACUCCUCAGGAACAGUUUCAUUUCCAUGAAGGUCUUAUUUGGGGCCAUCCCCAGAUGGAUCCUGCUCCUCAAGAGCCACCCCCCCUCCACUGGGUGGUCUUCUGAACAGAUGACCUCCUUCCUGUCCUCAGGCUGACUAAGGCUGCACCGUUUCCAUCUCUGAAGGCCCCUCAUUCAGGAAACCACUGGACUACAAAGACAUGACUUCAGAGACGUUGAAUCAACCUGGGACACAUUUGGAGACGCCAAGCAUAAUCCAUCACCAAUGUGGGACGCCACUGAAGAAUGUUGUAAAUAAUUUACGUCUCUGGAGACAUUGGUUGUUCUGUUCUGGGUGCCCUGGCAGGAGAGCUGGGGGUGGAUGAUAGAAUGUUA